GCGCCCGACUAUGUGGUGUCGCAACUGACUGUACUGACGUAUCGUAGGAGGUCUGCCACCUGGGGUGGGGACAAGCAGGGACUGGGCAGGUUGUUACUGCAUCUCAACCAAGUCGUUUGUGAGUUCAGCGACAACACGGAUCCUGGUACGGGGCUUUGUGGGACUUUGUGGACUUACCUUCUUUCCUGAUGUGCAUAACAAGAAGAGAGGAGAACUUACAAUGUUCUUGAAGAAGUGGACUACGGGGUUGUCGUCACCAGGCCGGCCAUGCUGGGAUCUCUGGGGGAUGGACCCUACGUGGUGGCUAGCCCUGGCUGCAUGUAUGUCCUGAAAAGCAGAAAAGGCAUAUCGCCAAGUCAGCCGGGAAGGAAAGAUAAUCGGCGAAUGUACGAAGAGAAGAGUCAUUCUCACCAGGAAUGAAAAGAAGAGAAAAAUGCCUUGGAAAUCUACAGAGAUUGCAACCUAAAGUUGUCAGUGCUGUGAAGGAACAAUUUUUUUAAUACAAUGGCAAAUACAGAGUACGUAUGUGGACGUAUGUUGUGCAUAUAUAUAUGGCUGGACAUGUUUUUAAUGUUACAGCCCAGUGUGGAAUUAAACCUGUUAUUGGAAAGUUCUGCUAACAGAAACCUGCUAAUUUUCCUUCUUUCAUAAGUAGGAUUGUAGAAUGUAGUUUUAGAAAUGAAACCUGAAACGGAGAAAAACUUAAAAUGAUGAAAUGAUGUUGGGUCAUUCUCCAUCCAUGAGCGGGAAUGGAUCGUGUAUCGUGUCUCAGUUCCCAAAGACUACAUAACACUGAUGAACAGCAAGAGCAAUGUUUUUUUGGGAAUGAGGGGAUCAAAUGAGACUGACAAUACUUUCUAUUUUCAGUAGGGCUUCCUGAGCAAUACAUAAAGAAGUCCAGUAAGCGAAGGUAAAAUUAAUAACAGAAAUAAUACAUUGUCAAGUGUGAAUACCUUGACUGGUGCUUAGAUCGUGCUGCAUCUGUUGCAGUGAAAAUAGUGUCAAAAAUUUGGUGUAGUUCCUGCUAUCUGGAUGCAGUAUGACAAAGUUUAAAAAAGAACUCUUACAUAUGACUGACCCAGUUACAGACAUCUGCCCAUCACUGCAAACGCAGAGGCACAAGGCUUCAUGUUCAGUGCAACAGAUCUGAAGUAUGUUCAGUGGGGAACAGAGAAGGUAGGAGAGAAUGAAAAUAACAACGGUGCUGCAAUCGUUCUGGUAGUGUAAUGGAUUCCCUGAGAAUACAAUGAUGUUAUAAGCAUCAUGCGGAUGCAAAAAAUUUUCAUUGGCCUCUAAAGAUGAAAUGGAAAUCCAUAGUGAGACAGUAGCUCACAUAAGCACUUCCCUAGUAGCACAAACUGAGUGACUGUGGAACACUGUGAAUAGUUAUGAAAACAAAGUAGAUUUUAAAUCACAUACAGAAAAACAUUGAUCAACUUGCCAGGGAAAAAGCUUAGGCUGAUUGUUGGAGCAGGAGUCCUGACUCAUGAGCGGUUUGGUGAUUUUUGACAUACAAGUUAAUAUCUAUAGAACAGGUUUUCAAAGGUUUGAAGAGUCUUUUUGCACUUUGAGUGAAGUCUUGUGACAGCAGUAGCUUUCAGAAUGACCCUGACCGCCUCAAGCUAUUGCUAUUGAAAAUGGCUGUGCAGAGAUUUACAUGUUGUAAGACUCUUGAAUAAAAGGUCCCAUGAAA